GAUAACAAUACUAGGACUAGAAAUUAACUAGUACAGGGACAAACACACAUGCAUGAAGACACAUAUAGGAUGGCAGAAUACUAAUUCACAGAGCAAAAUCACACUGACAUAACAUUCUCUGAUCAACUGGACAUUAACUAGUAAGAACACAUAAAAAGAUGCACUAUAUUUAAAAGUACGAAACUAAGCACAUAGCAAUUUGAGCACUAGUCAUGUAAACAAUACACGCCAUACACAUCUCAAUUCUGAAUUUUACGAAGUCUGGACCUUACAAGGUCUCAAACAUCUCAAUUGCACAGAUAUUUCAGAGAGACAGAGGGAGAGAGAGAAAGAGAGAGACAGCAGGAGGUUGGAGAGAAGAUUAGGAGCAGUAGCAGUAGGGGUUCAGAGGAGCAGCAGCAGUUUGUGGUUCAGAAGAGAAGCAACAGCAACGGAGGUAAGGAAGCAGAGCAGCAGCGAGGUUCAGAGAAGAAAUAGAGCAGCAGGGUGAGAGGAGGAGCAGCAGCGAGGUAAGGAGAAGGAGAAGAUGCAGCAGCAGGGACGUGGGGAUAGAGAGCAGCAGCAGCGUGAGAAGAAGCAGCAGGGCGCAGCAACAAGGGGAUUCAAGGAGAAGAAUGAGGUUCAGAGAAGAAGAAGUGGCAGCAGGAGAUGGAGAAGGAGCAAGGCAAGGGAAGAAGGACAGCAGGGAAUAGCAUCAGCAGAAGGGACAAGGGGACGAGCAGCGGCAGUUGGAGAAGAAGAGCAGCAGCACAGGGGCGCUCACGCGGAGGAGAAAAACAGCAGCAGUGUUAGGGGAGGAGAGAGAGGCAGCAAGGAUGCAACGGGGCAGCAGGGGAUUGAGUUGAUGGCGCUGUGGACGGAGGUAAGGAUGGGCGGCGGAGGUGCUGGGUCGUGCGGGCAGUCACACACCCGUCUGGUCGAGCGCGCGAGGUGGGCGCUGGUGUAUGGAUGCGUGAGGGGAUGGAUGGCGCUGGAGGUGGUGAUGCGGCAGUGUUGUGGCGCGGGUGGAAGGAGAUGAUCGUGGUGGUGGAUGGUGCGGCGGCGCGAGGUGGUGAUGCGGCGGUGGUGUGGAGCAGGUGGAGAUGCUGGGUGGCGCACCACCACGCCGCCCUGGCCAUGGUGGCGGCCGGUGGUGGAGAAGAAGAGGAGAGGGAGAGAGAUGAGAUGCCAGGCCCGAAGGGGAUCGAAGGCCACCCUAGGGAUUUUGACCCCUCUCGAUCAGAUCUGCCCAUAUUGCACUUUGGCCCUUCGCUUCUCUUCUUUUAGCUCAAGUAGGUCCCUCUCUUCUUUAGCUAGCCCCCCUAAGCUUUAAUUUUCUUCAAGCUUGAGUCCCUCUUUCUUCUCUUCUUGCCUGUGAUCUUGUUCCUCAAUACUUUCUAGACAGAAACUUGUAGAUUAUAGUGCCUCGUCGCACUUUUCUGCAAAAGAAACACAAUGACUAGUAAAUGAAUCAUUAUAUGAUUUUCAUGCAAAUAUUCAACUAAACUUAGCAAGAAUAGAUGGGCAUAACUCAACAAAUGGUAUAAUUCAAUGCCCAAAUUAUGUAUAUGAAAUGUGUUUAUCAAGUUCCCCCACACUUAAAUCUUUACUUGUCCUCAAGUAAAGGCAUAUGACAAGAGCAAGAUAGUGAAUGGUGAGCUGACUAGAGAAUGCCAAGUGAAGUAGAUCUCUAAACAAUGCAUGCUUCAGACUUAGUUAGUGAAAAUUAAUGGUUAGAGUGCUACAAAGCAGUAGGAUACUAGUAGACUUGACCAUUUUAAACUUUUACAAUGAUAAAAGAAGAUUAGCAAGUUCAAAUGCUGAAUGUGCCAAAAGGUUCCUAAAGAGAGCAUGAUCCAAAAAAAAAACAACUUAAACUUGUGAUCAGAUCACUUAUUACCAGGAACAAAACAUUGCAGUUGAAAGCACUUAUUGUAUUUGAGGAAAGUAAUGAUAAUAUUUUGUCGAUCUCACCAAAGGAACAUACCACCGAUCCCGAGAACAUGAUAUACACCUGGCUCGACCAAUUAUUAGUUAGUUCUUUUUGUUUGUCUCCCCAAAGGAACAUACCACCGAUCCAGAGAACAUGGUAUACACCUGGUUCGACGAUUACAAUUUUAUUAGUAAUUACUGCCCGAGCUAACCCGAUUUCACAUGCCACCGAUCCAGGGAACAUGACAUGCUACUGUAGGUAGUCAGACUUAUUUAUUCAUUAUAAGAUAUACUUUUUAUUUUUAUUUUUCAAAUGAACAAAAACAAGAAUCAUCACUCAUCCAUGUCUAGUUCACAUGCUACCGAUCCAUAGAACAUAGCAUGCUAAUCCAUAGUGGUAAGUGAUUGCUCUGAAUGGGAACACAUUAGGCACAAAAUCAGCAUCUAAACAUGGUGAUCUAGGUGUAUCAAUGUAAAUGCAGAAAAUGAUGGAAGUUUUCUAGUGUACUAGGGAUUUGAGCACUCAAAACUAAUAACUUUCACUAAUUUCAGCAAAGCAAGCAAUAUGUAGAUCACUAGUUUACAAGGCAUUCAACAAUCAGUUCUCAUGUUCACAUCAAGCGCAAUAUGUCAAAUAAAAUUCAGUGGGACAUCAUUUAAGAAAUGGCUCAAGCAACUCAAAUAUCAAAUGAUUUCAACAUUAUCAACGGAUGAUAUAUUGAGAUUGGGGUCAUGAAAUAGCUCACCGGGCUUUGAUGGUGUAGCACUCGCUCGAUCAUCUCUAAGCUGCUAAUCUUCUCCUUUGCUUCCUCAUGGAUGCUCCAGCUUCACUCUUCUUCGUGUGUGCCCCCUUGCUUCUCCUCAUCACCAUGCUCUGAGUCCACCAGGGUCCUAAGGAAUGUCACCUCGAACCUGGUCAGCAUGAAAUGAACGGUGCAGAAGCAAAAACUUGAAAGAACACUCCACAAAAGAGACAAUGCAUGUGGUAGGGAUAAUAUCCUCCAAGUCAUCAAUCGAGUAUCCAAUUACAUAAGCAUAGCUAUAAAGCACAUGUUUAGGAUGGUAGAAAUCAGCAAGGUCUACACUAACAUGAGGAUGAUAUUUAUCAUUAAGCUCAAGACUAGCAUAAGAAUGAUAUGUUUCAUUAAGCAAAGGACUAGCAUGAGGAGAAUAAGUGUCAUCAUCAUAAAUGAGAGCAAUACCACCAAUAGUGUAUGUAUCAUCAUAUCCAAGCAAAUGAGUUUUCAAAUCAAUCUUAAGUGAUGGUAUCAUGUAAUGCAAGGUAGUAGCAAACAAUUCAUAUGGACGCAUGUCAUCAAGAGGAUUAGAUAAACCUGCUGCAUCACGCUCUUGUAUGACGAUGGGCAAAUGAAUUUCUGGUUCUUCAUCUUCAACUACAGGAGCUUCUUUUACUUCUUCAGGAAGGAUAUACAUUGGAUCUUCAAGGUCUUCGACCUGAUCACUUGGGUAGUUGAGCUCUGGAUCAUCUUGUGCCUUGGCUUCAAGAAUUUCUUCUUGGAUCUGAAGUAUCUCUUCCUAUGGACUCUCGCUAUCUUGCUCAGCUGAAUGUGAAGGUGUUGGGACCUCACAUGUAUCAAAGGAUAUCCCAGAAACACUCAGCUCAAGGAGGGAUGAGAUAGUGCACCCGGCAUUCAUAUUCUUCUCAAUUUUCCUUCUUCCACUAGCUCUUUUCCACUCUUGAUCUUCUUCAUUUCCUCUAGUAUCACCGGCCUAAUUGGAUCAUCUUCAGCACUCCAAGUGAACUCGAGACUAAGCAGUGUGAGCUUGUCUAUAUCAUCAAAAUCAUCUUGUGUGGGCACUUGUGUUGAAGGUGUUGGUUGACCAAAUGGAGGACCAUUUAACUCCAUUGGCAACAUCUCCUGGUGUUGAGGUAUAUGAGUAGGAGCUGAAUGAAAUUGUCGUGGUACAUAGUUGUGGCUCUCCUCAUUGUACCUAAAUCCCUGCAUAUGAUUACUAGAAGCAAACAGUGAGAUCUCAGGGUUGUUGUUCCUAUAUGACAUAUUCUGGUUUUCAGGCCACCCAUAUGAGUAAUUGUUUUGGUAUGAGCUAGGCUGUGGGGCGAAGCUCAUGCCAUAACAAUUGGGAGGGUGAGAGUAACCACGCUGACAUUCAGCGGGUGAAUGGCCCUGAAAUCCACAAAUAUGGCAUGUAGGAGCAACAUAAGGAUGACCUCUAGAAUAAGGAUCAUAAGAGCUAGGCCUAUCCUCGAAAACUACUUCUCGCUGCCGAGCUAAAUCAUCUAAUCGAUGGGAAAUCUUACUUAUCAGUUCUUGAAUACUUUCUGUGCUGUUUGUAGUGUUGCUCACAUAAGCAUGAUGAUCUGAGUAAAAUGCCAUUUCCAAGAAGACAAUUCAACCUACAAAAUGAACAAGAAAAGAAAGAGAAGAUAACUAGAACAGCGGUUAGGGGUAAGAGAUAUAUCACAAAUAUAUUGCAUUAGAUAGAAACAGAAGCAAAACCUAGUCUAUAGCCUAACACGGUAGCACGACGCUAGUCCCGGCAACGGCGCCAAAAUGAUCAGAUGUAAAUAUAGUGGGGUUUUUCGCCCAAACUGCGAGUGUCGUGUUCUCCUCAGGGACUAGGCGACGGCAACUAUAUUCGGCUAAAGCUAGGUAAUACAAUUUUGAGUGAUAAAAACAGCAAAAAAAACCUAAACUAUUUAAGAUUGUUCCCGAAGAUAAUCCACAAAGACAAUGCAAAAUAGCAAAGGGAGGUUUAGAAUACACUCACUGUCGAUCUGGUAUUUUUGUAUUUUAAUAAGGCACACAACCAAUCAGCGGGACAAAGGGGAACUUACUAUAGAUGAUUGAGCUCUACUAAAGGGACUACUAACAGGGAAUAAAAAGUCAGGAUAACAAUACUAGGACUAGAAAUUAACUAGUACAGGGACAAACACACAUGCAUGAAUACACAUAUAGGAUGGCAGAAUACUAAUUCACAGAGCAAAAUCACACUGACAUAACAUUCUCUGAUCAACUGGACAUUAACUAGUAAGAACACAUAAAAAGAUGCACUAUAUUUAAAAGUACGAAACUAAACACAUAGCAAUUUGAGCACUAGUCAUGUAAACAAUACACGCCAUACACAUCUCAAUUCUGAAUUUUACAAAGUAUGAACCUUACAAGGUCUCAAACAUCUCAAUUGCACAGAUAUUUCAGAGAGACAGAGGGAGAGAGAGAAAGAGAGAGACAGCAGGAGGUUGGAGAGAAGAUUAGGAGCAGUAGCAGUAGGGGUUCAGAGGAGCAGCAGCAGUUUGUGGUUCAGAAGAGAAGCAACAGCAACGGAGGUAAGGAAGCAGAGCAGCAGCGAGGUUCAGAGAAGAAAUAGAGCAGCAGGGUGAGAGGAGGAGCAGCAGCGAGGUAAGGAGAAGGAGAAGAUGCAGCAGCAGGGACGUGGGGAUAGAGAGCAGCAGCAGCGUGAGAAGAAGCAGCAGGGCGCAGCAACAAGGGGAUUCAAGGAGAAGAAUGAGGUUCAGAGAAGAAGAAGUGGCAGCAGGAGAUGGAGAAGGAGCAAGGCAAGGGAAGAAGGACAGCAGGGAAUAGCAUCAGCAGAAGGGACAAGGGGACGAGCAGCGGCAGUUGGAGAAGAAGAGCAGCAGCACAGGGGCGCUCACGCGGAGGAGAAAAACAUCAGCAGUGUUAGGGGAG
rnacentral:lncRNA from 1 species